rnacentral:rRNA from 1 species
UACGAGAGCCUCGAGCGUUAUCCGGAAUUAUUGGGCGUAAAGGGUGCGUAGGUUGUUCUGUUAGUCUUUUGUUAAAACCCGGGGCUUAACCUCGGGAGUGCGGGAGAAACGGCAGGACUAGAAAGUGUGAGAGGCGUACGGAACUCAUGGUGUAGGGGUGAAAUCCGUUGAUAUCAUGGGGAACACCAAAUGCGAAGGCAGUACGCUGGCGCAUAUUUGACACUGAAGCACGAAAGCGUGGGUAGCGAAUGGG